GUAGGGAGCAAGCGUUAUCCGGAUUUAUUGGGUGUAAAAGGGUGCGUAGGCGGUUUAUUAGGUCUAUGGUUUAAUUCCGAAACUUAACUUCGGUUCGCCAUAGAAACCGAUUUACUUGAGUAUGGUAGAGGCAAGUGGAAUUUCUAGUGUAGCGGUAAAAUGCGUAGAUAUUAGAAAGGACACCAGUGGCGAAGGCGACUUGCUGGGCCAUCACUGACGCUGAGGCACGAAAGUGUGGGGAGCAAAUAGGAUUAGAUACCCUAGUAGUCCACGCCGUANNCGUUGNAUACUANGUGUCGG
rnacentral:rRNA from 1 species